GUAUCCCUACGGGAGGCAGCAGUGAGGAAUAUUGGUCAAUGGUCGGGAGACUGAACCAGCCAAGCCGCGUGAGGGAGGAAGGUACAGAGUAUCGUAAACCUCUUUUGUCAGGGAACAAAGACUGGGACGCGUCCCCGGAUGAGUGUACCUGAAGAAAAAGCAUCGGCUAACUCCGUGCCAGCAGCCGCGGUAAUACGGAGGAUGCGAGCGUUAUCCGGAUUUAUUGGGUUUAAAGGGUGCGCAGGCGGUCUGUUAAGUCAGCGGUCAAAGCCCGGGGCUCAACCCCGGCCCGCCGUUGAAACUGG
rnacentral:rRNA from 1 species